CUAAGAAUCUUCCGCAAUGGGCGAAAGCCUGACGGAGCGACGCCGCGUGAAGGAUGAAGGCGUUAUACGUUGUAAACUUCUUUUACAGGGGAAGAUAAUGACUGUACCCUGUGAAUAAGCAUAGGCUAAUUACGUGCCAGCAGCCGCGGUAAGACGUAAUAUGCAAGCGUUAUUCGGAAUCACUGGGCGUAAAGGGUGCGUAGGCGGUGAAUUAAGUCGGAUGUGAAAUCCUACGGCUCAACCGUAGAAUUGCGUUCGAAACUGAUUGACUAGAAUCAGAGAAGGGAAGGCGGAAUUCCUGGUGUAGGAGUGAAAUCUAUAGAUAUCAGGAAGAACACCGGUGGCGAAGGCGGCCUUCUGGCUUAUGAUUGACGCUGAGGCACGAAAGUGUGGGGAGCGAACG
rnacentral:rRNA from 1 species